rnacentral:lncRNA from 1 species
UUUUGGCCGCCUUCCCGAGCCCGGAUGCUCGGCCCGCUUUGAGGAAAGUCGAUCCUCGCGUCGUCCUCGUCGUUUUGGUCCGCUCGGCUCGCUAAUCCGGUGAGUUUAACUCACUAAACCUCGCUUAGAGGGUUAAUGAUGCUUUAGGUGUGUUUAGUUUAUGUUAAGUGUUAUUAGGUGGUUAGUUUAAUUUAUUUAAGUGUAGAUUAUAUUAAUGUGCUUGAUUAACUUAAAUUGUGUUUAAUUUAAGGUUAAGUGAGUGUUUAUAUUAGUAUAAACCUUGAUGUGACAAAAAGGAAUUUACUUUUGAUUUAUUUAAAUAUCUCGAAAUUAUUGAAUAAUUAAAUAAUAUUUUAAUAUUCGAAAUUAUUAAAAGGUUAUUAUUUAAUUAUUUUCGGAAUAAAUUUAAUUAUUUAUUAAAUUCCGAAAAUUUUGUCGAGACCUUAAAUUCUCAGAAUUUCGUGCCGGUCGUUGCUGUGUAGUCGGAUUUUGAAAUUGAUGAUUGGAUGUUAUAAAUUGAGCGUGGAAAGUGAAAUAUAUGGAUAUUAUUAUUUAAUUAUUUUUGGGAAUAAAUUUAAUUAUUUAUUAAAUUCCGAAAAUUUUCAUUGGGACCUUAUUUGCUCAGAAUUCCGUGCCGAUCGUUGCUGUGCAUUUAGAAUUUGAGAUUGAUGAUUGGUUGUGAUGAAUUGAGUGUGAUUGUGAUUUAUAGAGAUUCUUUAUGAAAUCCUAAGUGUAGAAACUGAUGGGAGAUUGGCUGUGAAAUACCACCUAUUAGAGGUCGUGCCCGAUGAGGCCGUUAUAUGCCACCUACUAGAGGUCGCGCCCGAUGGGGCCGUUAUAUGCCACCUAUUAGAGGUCGCGCCCGAUGGGGCCGUUAUAUACCACCUGAUAAAGGUCGCGCCCGAUGGGGCCGUUAUAUGCCACCUGAUAAAAGGUCGCGCCCGAUGGGGCCGUUAUAUGCCACUGAUAAAGGUCGCGCCCGAUGGGGCCGUUAUAUGCCACUAUUAGAGGUCGCGCCCGAUGGGGCCGUUAUAUGCCACCUGAUAAAGGUCGCGCCCGAUGGGGCCGUUAUAUGCCACCUACUAGAGGUCGCGCCCGAUGGGGCCGUUAUAUGCCACCUACUAGAGGUCGCGCCCGAUGGGGCCGUUAUAUGCCACCUAUUAGAGGUCGCGCCCGAUGGGGCCGUAAUAUGCCACCUGUUAAAGGUCGCGCUGAGUGGGGCCGUGAUGCCACUGAUUCUAAUGUUGGCCGAGUGGGCCGUGAUUGAGAGCAAUGAUUGAUUUGCUAGAAUGACAUGUAAUCGGCCGAGUCGAUUGAUCGCUGAGACGAUCCAAGUGGUUGAAUUGUUUUGAUAAUGUGAUUGAGCCAUGGUUGUUUGGUUAUCAUAAUUGUACGUGGUUGAAUUAUAUAAAUUGUGCUAACUUGCAGAUGAAGGCUGAGGCGAGGUAAGUCUUCUGUGUGAUGUGGCUAGGCCACCCUUGGGCGUAUUUUCUUUCUAAUAGGGGUUUAGGGGGUUGAACUUGCUGAGACGUUGUCUCAGUGGUUAUUGAAUAACCAUUUCAGGUCCCUGCUGGACGAAGCGGCCGGAUAGCUUUGGUUGGCCUUGAGGAGUUGGAGAUGUGAAGUCAUAAAGAUUGGAGAUCGUGUACGACUUGUAGGUCGUAGGAUAACCUCUUUUUAAGAGCCAGUCUUUUGUAGACUGUUGGCCGUAAACCCCUGUUUGUAAUUCUGUUGAAUUAUGUUUAAGUGUUAUGUUGUGGUUUUGCUUCCUGCUUUUCUAUCCCAUAGUUUAUUGUCA